CCCCAGACUCCUACGGGAGGCAGCAGUGGGGAAUAUUGCACAAUGGGGGAAACCCUGAUGCAGCGACGCCGCGUGAGCGAUGAAGUAUUUCGGUAUGUAAAGCUCUAUCAGCAGGGAAGAAAAUGACGGUACCUGACUAAGAAGCCCCGGCUAACUACGUGCCAGCAGCCGCGGUAAUACGUAGGGGGCAAGCGUUAUCCGGAUUUACUGGGUGUAAAGGGAGCGUAGACGGCAAUGCAAGCCAGAUGUGAAAGCCCGGGGCUCAACCCCGGGACUGCAUUUGGAACUGUGUAGCUGGAGUGUCGGAGAGGCAGGCGGAAUUCCUAGUGUAGCGGUGAAAUGCGUAGAUAUUAGGAGGAACACCAGUGGCGAAGGCGGCCUGCUGGACGAUGACUGACGUUGAGGCUCGAAAGCGUGGGGAGCAAACAGGAUUAGAUACCCCAGUA
rnacentral:rRNA from 1 species